AUUGAACGCUGGCGGCAGGCCUAACACAUGCAAGUCGAGCGGAUGAAGGGAGCUUGCUCCUGGAUUCAGCGGCGGACGGGUGAGUAAUGCCUAGGAAUCUGCCUGGUAGUGGGGGAUAACGUCCGGAAACGGGCGCUAAUACCGCAUACGUCCUGAGGGAGAAAGUGGGGGAUCUUCGGACCUCACGCUACCAGAUGAGCCUGGGUCGGAUUAGCUAGUUGGUGGGGUAAAGGCCUACCAAGGCGACGAUCCGUAACUGGUCUGAGAGGAUGAUCAGUCACACUGGAACUGAGACACGGUCCAGACUCCUACGGGAGGCAGCAGUGGGGAAUAUUGGACAAAGGGCGAAAGCCUGAUCCAGCCAUGCCGCGUGUGUGAAGAAGGUCUUCGGAUUGUAAAGCACUUUAAGUUGGGAGGAAGGGCAGUAAGUUAAUACCUUGCUGUUUUGACGUUACCAACAGAAUAAGCACCGGCUAACUUCGUG
rnacentral:rRNA from 1 species